AGAGUUUGAUCAUGGCUCAGGACGAACGCUGGCGGCGCGCCUAACACAUGCAAGUCGAACGAGCGAGAGAGAGCUUGCUUUCUCGAGCGAGUGGCGAACGGGUGAGUAACGCGUGAGGAACCUGCCUCAAAGAGGGGGACAACAGUUGGAAACGACUGCUAAUACCGCAUAAGCCCACGGGUCGGCAUCGACCAGAGGGAAAAGGAGCAAUCCGCUUUGAGAUGGCCUCGCGUCCGAUUAGCUAGUUGGUGAGGUAACGGCCCACCAAGGCGACGAUCGGUAGCCGGACUGAGAGGUUGAACGGCCACAUUGGGACUGAGACACGGCCCAGACUCCUACGGGAGGCAGCAGUGGGGAAUAUUGCACAAUGGGGGAAACCCUGAUGCAGCGACGCCGCGUGGAGGAAGAAGGUCUUCGGAUUGUAAACUCCUGUUGUUGGGGAAGAUAAUGACGGUACCCAACAAGGAAGUGACGGCUAAUUACGUGCCAGCAGCCGCGGUAAAACGUAGGUCACAAGCGUUGUCCGGAAUUACUGGGUGUAAAGGGAGCGCAGGCGGGAAGACAAGUUGGAAGUGAAAUCUAUGGGCUCAACCCAUAAACUGCUUUCAAAACUGUUUUUCUUGAGUAGUGCAGAGGUAGGCGGAAUUCCCGGUGUAGCGGUGGAAUGCGUAGAUAUCGGGAGGAACACCAGUGGCGAAGGCGGCCUACUGGGCACCAACUGACGCUGAGGCUCGAAAGUGUGGGUAGCAAACAGGAUUAGAUACCCUGGUAGUCCACACCGUAAACGAUGAUUACUAGGUGUUGGAGGAUUGACCCCUUCAGUGCCGCAGUUAACACAAUAAGUAAUCCACCUGGGGAGUACGACCGCAAGGUUGAAACUCAAAGGAAUUGACGGGGGCCCGCACAAGCGGUGGAGUAUGUGGUUUAAUUCGACGCAACGCGAAGAACCUUACCAAGUCUUGACAUCCCUUGACAGACAUAGAAAUAUGUAUUCUCUUCGGAGCAAGGAGACAGGUGGUGCAUGGUUGUCGUCAGCUCGUGUCGUGAGAUGUUGGGUUAAGUCACGCAACGAGCGCAACCCUUAUGGUCAGUUACUACGCAAGAGGACUCUGGCCAGACUGCCGUUGACAAAACGGAGGAAGGUGGGGAUGACGUCAAAUCAUCAUGCCCUUUAUGACUUGGGCUACACACGUACUACAAUGGCGUUAAACAAAGAGAAGCAAGACCGCGAGGUGGAGCAAAACUCAGAAACAACGUCCCAGUUCGGACUGCAGGCUGCAACUCGCCUGCACGAAGUCGGAAUUGCUAGUAAUCGUGGAUCAGCAUGCCACGGUGA
rnacentral:rRNA from 1 species